UGGCUAGCCGGCUUCCUAAGGAAGGACGGGAUUUGUAGUUUCGUGGGUGCUUUUUUUAAUGAGCAAAACUUUAUUGCCAUUCCACUUCACAGGUGCCGUCACGCUUUCCAAGUCAUUGGCGUUACAAACGAGGAAACUAUUCUGGCCUCGAGUCAUUCAGCCGGUCAUUCAACAAACGUAUACGUGAUCUCUAUACCCAACGUGGGGCUCAAACUCAUGAUCUCAAGAUCAAGAGCCACGUGUUCUCCCAAUUGAGCCAUCCAGGCACCCCUAUUUUAUUAGUUAUAAAAUAAUUCUGAUUCUGAAAGUUGGAGAAGAAGCCAAAAUCCAACCAUGAUUUCAAAACUCAGAGCAGAGUCCUAGAAGUGGAGAUAUCGGGCCAAAGCAUGUGCACAGUCUUAAGAAUACAGUCACACAAAUUGGCCUGGGGUCAGCUCUAUCAAG